CUUCUAUGGCAUUGUUUGCCAGUCUUAUUUGUUACUGCUAACGAAACAAAAAUUCUGACUUUCUUUAGAUAAAUAGAAUACUACAGGGCUACUUCAGCAACCACUGAAGGACUUCAGGACAAAGCCUUGUAAGAGUUAUGCACCUUGAGACAUACUGGGUGAGUUUUGGCAGUUCAGCGUGUGUUCCCGGUGCAAAUCCUUAGUGUGCGGACAGAUAACU
rnacentral:lncRNA from 1 species